AUUGAACGCUGGCGGCAGGCUUAACACAUGCAAGUCGAGCGGAGAUGAGGUGCUUGCACCUUAUCUUAGCGGCGGACGGGUGAGUAAUGCUUAGGAAUCUGCCUAUUAGUGGGGGACAACAUUCCGAAAGGGAUGCUAAUACCGCAUACGUCCUACGGGAGAAAGCAGGGGAUCUUCGGACCUUGCGCUAAUAGAUGAGCCUAAGUCGGAUUAGCUAGUUGGUGGGGUAAAGGCCUACCAAGGCGACGAUCUGUAGCGGGUCUGAGAGGAUGGUCCGCCACACUGGGACUGGGACACGGGCCAGACUCCUACGGGAGGCAGCAGUGGGGAAUAUUGGACAAUGGGGGGAACCCUGAUCCAGCCAUGCCGCGUGUGUGAAGAAGGCCUUAUGGUUGUAAAGCACUUUAAGCGAGGAGGAGGCUACUGAGACUAAUACUCUUGGAUAGUGGACGUUACUCGCAGAAUAAGCACCGGCUAACUCUGUGCCAGCCGCCGCCGUAACAC
rnacentral:rRNA from 1 species